AGAGUUUGAUCCUGGCUCAGAAUGAACGCUGGCGGCGUGCUUAACACAUGCAAGUCGGAUGUGCCGCAAGGUGCAUGGCAGACGGGUGAGUAACGCGUAGGGAACCUACCUCUUUGUGGGGAAUAACGUUCCGAAAGGAAUGGUAAUACCGCAUGAGAUCCACGACUGGGAUGUUGUGGAUGAAAGCCGGGGAUCGAAAGACCUGGCGCAAGGAGAGGGUCCUGCGUCUGAUUAGCUAGUUGGUGGGGUAACGGCCUACCAAGGCGACGAUCAGUAGCCGGCCUGAGAGGGUGAUCGGCCACACUGGAACUGAGACACGGCCCAGACUCCUACGGGAGGCAGCAGUGGGGAAUAUUGGACAAUGGGGGCAACCCUGAUCCAGCAAUGCCGCGUGAGUGAUGAAGGCCUUAGGGAUGUAAAGCUCUUUUACCGGGGACGAUGAUGACGGUACCCGGAGAAUAAGCCCCGGCUAACUUCGUGCCAGCAGCCGCGGUAAUACGAAGGGGGCGAGCGUUGUUCGGAGUUACUGGGCGUAAAGGGCGCGUAGGCGGCGCUCCAAGUUAGGCGUGAAAGCCCCGGGCUCAACCUGGGAAUAGCGCUUAAGACUGGAGUGCUUGAGUGCGGGAGAGGUGAGUGGAAUUCCCAGUGUAGAGGUGAAAUUCGUAGAUAUUGGGAAGAACACCAGUGGCGAAGGCGGCUCACUGGCCCGCAACUGGCGCUGAGGCGCGAAAGCGUGGGGAGCAAACAGGAUUAGAUACCCUGGUAGUCC
rnacentral:rRNA from 1 species